GCUUUGUCACCUCAUAAAAGCAGAUGGAAAAAUGUUAAAGCAAAUACAAAAAAAGUUAUAAUUAGAAUUAUGGAGCAUCAUGUUCAAUAUGAAAAGCCCAAGUUCAAUAUGAAAAGCAAUAUGAGCCCAUGUUCAAUAUGAAAAGAAAAAUUCGUGGUGAUAUAAAGAAGUCAUCCAGCUAACGCACGAAAGUUUAACGGAAGCUUACAAAAGAUCAAAUAGGAAGCAUUUUAAAG